rnacentral:rRNA from 1 species
UGGGGAAUUUUGGACAAUGGGCGCAAGCCUGAUCCAGCCAUGCCGCGUGCGGGAAGAAGGCCUUCGGGUUGUAAACCGCUUUUGUCAGGGAAGAAAUCUUCUGAGUUAAUACCUCGGGAGGAUGACGGUACCUGAAGAAUAAGCACCGGCUAACUACGUGCCAGCAGCCGCGGUAAUACGUAGGGUGCAAGCGUUAAUCGGAAUUACUGGGCGUAAAGCGUGCGCAGGCGGUUUUGUAAGACAGAGGUGAAAUCCCCGGGCUCAACCUGGGAACUGCCUUUGUGACUGCAAGGCUUGAGUGCGGCAGAGGGGGAUGGAAUUCCGCGUGUAGCAGUGAAAUGCGUAGAUAUGCGGAGGAACACCGAUGGCGAAGGCAAUCCCCUGGGCCUGCACUGACGCUCAUGCACGAAAGCGUGGGGAGCAAACAGGAUUAGAUACCCUGGUAGUCCACGCCCUAAACGAUGUCAACUGGUUGUUGGGAAGGUUCCUUCUCAGUAACGUAGCUAACGCGUGAAGUUGACCGCCUGGGGAGUACGGCCGCAAGGUUGAAACUCAAAUGAAUUGACGGGGUCAU